GGGUUGUGAGGUUAAGCGACUAAGCGUACACGGUGGAUGCCCUGGCAGUCAGAGGCGAUGAAGGACGUGCUAAUCUGCGAUAAGCGUCGGUAAGGUGAUAUGAACCGUUAUAACCGGCGAUUUCCGAAUGGGGAAACCCAGUGUGAUUCGUCACACUAUCAUUAACUGAAUCCAUAGGUUAAUGAGGCGAACCGGGGGAACUGAAACAUCUAAGUACCCCGAGGAAAAGAAAUCAACCGAGAUUCCCCCAGUAGCGGCGAGCGAACGGGGAGGAGCCCAGAGCCUGAAUCAGUGUGUGUGUUAGUGGAAGCGUCUGGAAAGGCGCGCGAUACAGGGUGACAGCCCCGUACACAAAAAUGCACAUACUGUGAGCUCGAUGAGUAGGGCGGGACACGUGGUAUCCUGUCUGAAUAUGGGGGGACCAUCCUCCAAGGCUAAAUACUCCUGACUGACCGAUAGUGAACCAGUACCGUGAGGGAAAGGCGAAAAGAACCCCGGCGAGGGGAGUGAAAAAGAACCUGAAACCGUGUACGUACAAGCAGUGGGAGCCUCUUUAUGGGGUGACUGCGUACCUUUUGUAUAAUGGGUCAGCGACUUAUAUUCUGUAGCAAGGUUAACCGAAUAGGGGAGCCGAAGGGAAACCGAGUCUUAACUGGGCGUUAAGUUGCAGGGUAUAGACCCGAAACCCGGUGAUCUAGCCAUGGGCAGGUUGAAGGUUGGGUAACACUAACUGGAGGACCGAACCGACUAAUGUUGAAAAAUUAGCGGAUGACUUGUGGCUGGGGGUGAAAGGCCAAUCAAACCGGGAGAUAGCUGGUUCUCCCCGAAAGCUAUUUAGGUAGCGCCUCGUGAAUUCAUCUCCGGGGGUAGAGCACUGUUUCGGCAAGGGGGUCAUCCCGACUUACCAACCCGAUGCAAACUGCGAAUACCGGAGAAUGUUAUCACGGGAGACACACGGCGGGUGCUAACGUCCGUCGUGAAGAGGGAAACAACCCAGACCGCCAGCUAAGGUCCCAAAGUCAUGGUUAAGUGGGAAACGAUGUGGGAAGGCCCAGACAGCCAGGAUGUUGGCUUAGAAGCAGCCAUCAUUUAAAGAAAGCGUAAUAGCUCACUGGUCGAGUCGGCCUGCGCGGAAGAUGUAACGGGGCUAAACCAUGCACCGAAGCUGCGGCAGCGACACUAUGUGUUGUUGGGUAGGGGAGCGUUCUGUAAGCCUGCGAAGGUGUACUGUGAGGUAUGCUGGAGGUAUCAGAAGUGCGAAUGCUGACAUAAGUAACGAUAAAGCGGGUGAAAAGCCCGCUCGCCGGAAGACCAAGGGUUCCUGUCCAACGUUAAUCGGGGCAGGGUGAGUCGACCCCUAAGGCGAGGCCGAAAGGCGUAGUCGAUGGGAAACAGGUUAAUAUUCCUGUACUUGGUGUUACUGCGAAGGGGGGACGGAGAAGGCUAUGUUGGCCGGGCGACGGUUGUCCCGGUUUAAGCGUGUAGGCUGGUUUUCCAGGCAAAUCCGGAAAAUCAAGGCUGAGGCGUGAUGACGAGGCACUACGGUGCUGAAGCAACAAAUGCCCUGCUUCCAGGAAAAGCCUCUAAGCAUCAGGUAACAUCAAAUCGUACCCCAAACCGACACAGGUGGUCAGGUAGAGAAUACCAAGGCGCUUGAGAGAACUCGGGUGAAGGAACUAGGCAAAAUGGUGCCGUAACUUCGGGAGAAGGCACGCUGAUAUGUAGGUGAAGUCCCUCGCGGAUGGAGCUGAAAUCAGUCGAAGAUACCAGCUGGCUGCAACUGUUUAUUAAAAACACAGCACUGUGCAAACACGAAAGUGGACGUAUACGGUGUGACGCCUGCCCGGUGCCGGAAGGUUAAUUGAUGGGGUUAGCGCAAGCGAAGCUCUUGAUCGAAGCCCCGGUAAACGGCGGCCGUAACUAUAACGGUCCUAAGGUAGCGAAAUUCCUUGUCGGGUAAGUUCCGACCUGCACGAAUGGCGUAAUGAUGGCCAGGCUGUCUCCACCCGAGACUCAGUGAAAUUGAACUCGCUGUGAAGAUGCAGUGUACCCGCGGCAAGACGGAAAGACCCCGUGAACCUUUACUAUAGCUUGACACUGAACAUUGAGCCUUGAUGUGUAGGAUAGGUGGGAGGCUUUGAAGUGUGGACGCCAGUCUGCAUGGAGCCGACCUUGAAAUACCACCCUUUAAUGUUUGAUGUUCUAACGUUGGCCCGUAAUCCGGGUUGCGGACAGUGUCUGGUGGGUAGUUUGACUGGGGCGGUCUCCUCCUAAAGAGUAACGGAGGAGCACGAAGGUUGGCUAAUCCUGGUCGGACAUCAGGAGGUUAGUGCAAUGGCAUAAGCCAGCUUGACUGCGAGCGUGACGGCGCGAGCAGGUGCGAAAGCAGGUCAUAGUGAUCCGGUGGUUCUGAAUGGAAGGGCCAUCGCUCAACGGAUAAAAGGUACUCCGGGGAUAACAGGCUGAUACCGCCCAAGAGUUCAUAUCGACGGCGGUGUUUGGCACCUCGAUGUCGGCUCAUCACAUCCUGGGGCUGAAGUAGGUCCCAAGGGUAUGGCUGUUCGCCAUUUAAAGUGGUACGCGAGCUGGGUUUAGAACGUCGUGAGACAGUUCGGUCCCUAUCUGCCGUGGGCGCUGGAGAACUGAGGGGGGCUGCUCCUAGUACGAGAGGACCGGAGUGGACGCAUCACUGGUGUUCGGGUUGUCAUGCCAAUGGCACUGCCCGGUAGCUAAAUGCGGAAGAGAUAAGUGCUGAAAGCAUCUAAGCACGAAACUUGCCCCGAGAUGAGUUCUCCCUGACUCCCUGAGAGUCCUGAAGGAACGUUGAAGACGACGACGUUGAUAGGCCGGGUGUGUAAGCGCAGCGAUGCGUUGAGCUAACCGGUACUAAUGAACCGUGAGGCUUAACCUUACAACGCCGAAGGUGUUU
rnacentral:rRNA from 1 species